rnacentral:rRNA from 1 species
UACGUAGGGUGCGAGCGUUAAUCGGAAUUACUGGGCGUAAAGCGUGCGCAGGCGGCGCGUUUAAGACAGGUGUGAAAGCCCCCGAGCUUAACUUGGGAAUUGCGCUUGUGACUGGCGUGCUGGAGUGUGGCAGAGGGAGGUGGAAUUCCACGUGUAGCAGUGAAAUGCGUAGAGAUGUGGAGGAACACCGAUGGCGAAGGCAGCCCCCCUGGGUCAAGAUUGACGCUCAUGCACGAAAGCGUGGGGGAGCGAACAGG